GUGCUCAUUUCAGCAGCAGAUAUACUAAAAUUGGAACAGUACAGAGAUUAGCAUGGCCCCUGCACAAGGAUGCCACACAAAUUCGUGAAGCAUUCCAUAUUAAA